GUGUUACUCUUCACCCUGAUUGGACGAUGCGUGGGGUUCAGAAAAAUCUAAUUUAUUGAGGUAAGGUUAGCUGCAGGAUCGCAAAACUACAGUGACUGAGGCUCUGAAUCGAAGCAGAGAUGCAAGUAUAUUUAGGCUGUACUUUUCCCAAAAUAUAAUUUCUCACUUACAGACAUUCUAUGCAAUGCGCCUGACGUGAUAAUUAAACGUGCCAACGAUGGUUAUUGUAGCCCACCUGACCCAUCUACAACGAAUUCAUGCCAGGAAAAUAAGGUCACAUUUUUCCGGUUUGGUUCAGCUUGAGUUUUGGUUUAGGCUAUAUCCCAAUGAGGUCAAGGCAAUGACCUCCACUGGCCAGCCGGAGACAACAGUUGGAGACAAGCCGCAGGCGAGAGUUUUAGCAUGCCCGGAGGUUCCUCCUCUCGUGCUGCCUCACUAUACUGACAAAGGGUCAGCCUUCGACCCUCCCCAUUGCUCCUACCACAGCCUGGGCCACUGUCUGCGCACCAACAUCUUUCCAGGUCAGUGUUGCAAAGUGAAUUAUCAGCACAUAUACAGUCAAGGAUUACUGUUCCUCUGUCUAAUGCUCAUGUUCUUUUCCUGUCCAUGUUUCUAUUCUAUUCUUCCCAGGAGCUCCUCCGGUGUGGAAGUCCCUGAUAUAAGACUCCUACAUCGGUCACCCCUUGCCCGCCCCUCCUACAGACACCCAGCGUUGGUACGGCCUCAGGACUGAUGCCAUUGGUGGGUGACCUGCUGCUAAUGCCACUUAUUGCUAUAUCAGCACUACCAAACCCUGUUUUCAUUCGUCCUCGUUUAAUUUGUUCUUUCAUAGUGAAAUGGACAGAAAGAAACAUUGUGAACCAGAAGUUGAACAAGGCGCUAAAGGCAAUGGAGAACAAGUGGUCUAAAUGAGGCCAGGGUGCAAGUGGCCAUUUCACACCCUCACCGCAGCGCUCAUGCACCCUCUACAUUAUGCACAUCUCUUUUUACACAUAUAUCUACAUGCAAGCCUUUACAAACCCUUUCUGGUACGUUCAGUCUCACAUUCACACACAAUUGUGCGUCACGUUAC
rnacentral:lncRNA from 1 species